rnacentral:rRNA from 1 species
AGUUUGAUCCUGGCUCAGGAUGAACGCUAGCGGCAGGCCUAACACAUGCAAGUCGAGGGGUAAGGUUCAGCUUGCUGAACACACGACCGGCGCACGGGUGAGUAUCGCGUUUGCAAUCUACCUCUAACUGGAGGAUAGCCCGAAGAAAUUCGGAUUAAUACUCCAUAAAGUCAUAAUUUCGCAUGUUAUUAUGAUUAAAGCUCCGGCGGUUAGAGAUGAGCAUGCGUGUCAUUAGCUUGUUGGUGAGGUAACAGCUCACCAAGGCAACGAUGACUAGGGGUUCUGAGAGGAUGAUCCCCCACACUGGUACUGAGACACGGACCAGACUCCUACGGGAGGCAGCAGUGAGGAAUAUUGGGCAAUGGGCGAAAGCCUGACCCAGCCAUGCCGCGUGCAGGAUGACUGCCCUAUGGGUUGUAAACUGCUUUUAUACGGGAAGAAUGGUUCCUACGUGUAGGGAUUUGACGGUACCGUAAGAAUAAGCAUCGGCUAACUCCGUGCCAGCAGCCGCAGUAAUACGGAGGAUGCAAGCGUUAUCCGGAUUCAUUGGGUUUAAAGGGUGCGCAGGCGGAAUAUUAAGUCAGUGGUGAAAUCCUGCAGCUUAACUGUAGAACUGCCAUUGAUACUGAUAUUCUUGAAUGUAGUUGAGGUGGGCGGAAUGUGUAAUGUAGCGGUGAAAUGCUUAGAUAUUACACAGAACACCGAUUGCGAAGGCAGCUCACUAAACUAACAUUGACGCUGAGGCACGAAAGCGUGGGGAGCGAACAGGAUUAGAUACCCUGGUAGUCCACGCUGUAAACUAUGAUCACUCGCUGUUGGCAAUACAUCGUCAGCGGCUGAGCGAAAGCAUUAAGUGAUCCACCUGGGGGAUUACGAUCGC